UGUUGUGGUUUCGGGCCUGGGA
rnacentral:siRNA from 1 species